CAUUCUUCGGGAUGUGGAAGAGUGGCGAACGGGUGAGGAACACGUAAGAAUCUGCCCCUCGGUCGGGGACAACUUUUGGAAACGAAAGCUAAUACCCGAUACGCUGUGGAGUGAAAGAAUUUCGCCGAGGGAUGAUCUUGCGUCUGAUUAGCUAGUUGGUAUGGUAACUGCAUACCAAGGCGACGAUCAGUAGCUGGUCUGAGAGGAUGGACAGCCACAUUGGAACUGAGACACGGUCCAAACUCCUACGGAAGGCAGCAGUGGGGAAUUUUCCGCAAUGGACGAAAGUCUGACGGAGCGACGCUGCGUGAAGGAUGACGGCCCGCGGGUUGUAAACUUCUUUUCUCGAAGAAGAAACAAAUGACGGUAUUCGAGGAAUAAGCAUCGGCUAACUCCGUGCCAGCAGCCGCGGUAAGACGGAGGAUGCAAGUGUUAUUCGGAAUGAUUGGGCGUAAAGAGUCUGUAGGCUGUAUAGAAAGUCUUUUGUUAAAUGCCUCGGCUCAACCGAGAUCCAGCAAAGGAAACUUCUAUACUUGAGGGAAGU
rnacentral:rRNA from 1 species